AGUCACUGACAUUAGAUACCCGUGUAGUCCAGGGUGUAAACGCUGCAGACUUGGUGUUGGAGGCCCUUUGGGGGCAUUCAGUGCCGGAGAGAAGUUGUUAAGUCUGCUACUUGGGAGUACGUCCGCAAGGAUGAAACUUAAAGGAAUUGGCGGGGGAGCACCGCAACGGGAGGAGCGUGCGGUUUAAUUGGAUUCAACACCGUAAACUCACCAGGGAAGACUGUUCCAUGAAGGCCGAGAUGAAGACUCUGCUAGAUUUUCAG
rnacentral:rRNA from 1 species